rnacentral:sRNA from 1 species
CCCCUCCCGAAGCUGUGCACUCUUCAAAGAGGAUGACCUUCCUGGAAUAGAGCAGGACCGGAGAAUAGCUGUGCUCCCAUGCUAGAAUCUCCAAACAAGCCCUCAAAUAGGUCUUUUAGAUUUGAGUCCUCAGC